CACCCCUACAUGGGGACACGAGCCAAAUGACAGGGCCACUUGUCUAUGCUGUUCUAAGACAGGCAAGUAAUGAAUCAAACAAGUGGGCUGGCUGGCACCCUGGAGACUACCAGACUGAAGGGACCAGGCAGAGCUCAGUGCCGAGCUAGGUAUUUAAAGGAUGCUGAUGUUUGAGGUCCACAGGCUAGGGGUGGAGUCCUCAGUGUGUGUGUCUUUCUCCGUGUUCUGACAUUUGCUGGAUAGAAUCAAAUCAAAAGUGGGAUGUAGUCUUGACUGCAUGUUACCGAGGGGGAAAGGUUGGCUUUUGAAUGUUAAAAGAACAUGGUAUUUUGAGGCAAACCUGUUAAUUUGGUGGGUUUACAAAAGGGCUGUGUAAUGGAAAUCUAACAGCAGCAGCUCUGGGAAGGAACCUGCACACCUUACACAUGAAUUAUGGAUAAGGGAACAGAGCAAGGUUACCGCAGCCUCCAUUUGGGCCUCUCAGGGAAUGAGUUAUCGUUAGACUUUAACCAAACAACUCUAUUAUCCUCUGAUCCAAGGGACUGUGCUGUGCUAAUGUGAGGGGACAUCCACGGACCUCAUCCUUGUCCCUGAGCAGUUGAACCUGUCCCCACUCUGCAGUUAAAGAGGCUGAUGUUGAAUUCUGCUGUGCUGGAAAUGGCACCGUGUGACUCAAAUAGGCUGAAGGAAAGUUAAAAAUACAAGUUGCCUUGGCGAGGAUUUUGCAAACACCUGCCUUUGCAGGCUACCCUCCCACGGGUGACCUUGGGAAGGCCAGGAAAGCCAUAUGGGAGGAGCCAGGAUAUCAGCCAGGUGCCUUCAUCUCUGGCAGACUUUGCACCAGUGACAGCAGGUCUGAGGGGAGAUGAACAGGGCCCAGAGGACUGAAGACUGCCGACGGCUCAGUGGCUGCUCACUGACCAAGUCAGCAAAGGAUAAAGCUUGGGCCCUUACAGAGUGCUGGCGCCCCAAGAGCUGUUCCCAGGGGUAGCCUGCUGCCACUACCAUCUUAAGAGGAGCGACAAGGCAGCAUUUGUGCUCACACUGGGCAAAGGAAGAAAGGAUUCAGCAGGACAGGCUCAGCUGAGGAAGGGUGGGGGAGUUUUCCCUCCCUUCCUGGGGAACGAAAAGGUCCCCAGUGUAGAGCAAAAGGCUGUUCUGGAAGCCUGCACGCAACAUCAGAGGCCGAGAGCAGGCCGGCGCCCACAUGGCGCCCGCUGGAGCCCGGCAAGAGAGAAUCUGCCACCACACAUUAGAGGCAGCCCCCGUCCAAGUCGCCGCAGGCCCCGCAGCAGCAGCCAGGCAAGUUGCCCAGGUGAGACUGGAACUGGCAAUUUUCCUGCUGAAGCCUUCCAAGUGCUGGGAUUACAGGAGUGGGCCACCACAUGCAGUUCCUCUUCUGUUACCUUUAAUGGCUGCAAAGCUAGGGAGACUAGACCUGCAAAACGAACUGUGCCAUCAGACUGGAAGGACUGCUUCUUGCAAAGAAACAAAAUACUUUCUCCAGUGGUCCCGCUGCAUGAAGACCAUGAGAGAAAAAACCACAGGCAUGAUGGAAACUUAAUAAAGGCAGGUCAGCAGGGGUCGGCCUGCCGCAUGACAACGACAGUGAACCACUCUGUGGAGAACCAUGGGCAGCUAUAGCACUCAUCAAGUAACUUGGUUGAACACCAUGGGGACCAGCUGCCUCUGAGGGGAACUGAUGUCCCUGG
ensembl:lncRNA